GUAAUACUUCAAACAUACGAAUGAAUAUAAUGUGUGUUUUAUGUAUGAUGCUAAGUAACUAUGGUACAAUUAUCUACUUGAAGAUGUAAUGGAAUAAAAACAUAAUGAAAGAAGGAAACAUAUAGUGCAAGGAAAACAAUAUCGAUAUAAAUUUUUUUGUUCUUUUUUGUUUAUGUAUGAAAGGAUGCAAAAUAUGUUUCUUUUAACUAUGAAAAAUAACAAAUAAGUAAGGAUAAAGAUACAAGAUAGUAAGAUUUAUCUCCAGCCUAAGCUUUGAUACCAAAUGAUGCGGAGCCCAGGAUCAACUAAUAUGAUAAAAAACCCCACAUAUACUUUAGUGCUCAGAAUUUUUAAACUCUCAACAAACCCUCCCUACUUGACCUACAUUCAACACGUGAAUGUCAACCAAGGUAAUUGGGAUGACAAUUUCAAUUGAUUAAAUGUUACAAAAUGGAACCUUUAUAAGUAAAAUCAAUUUAAGAAGGAUUGAUAAAAUACAACAAAGAUUUAUCUUGAUACGUUGAAUCAAUUUCCACUCAAUAAGAAGGUUGAAGAAAACCUCACUAGUUGAAAACUAAAAACUCAUAAUGUUUUACUCAAAUUUGAAAGAAUACAACUAAGAAUUGAAGACCUAUUUAUAGAGUAAGUCACGUGCGUUACAAGAAAAUAA
rnacentral:lncRNA from 1 species